GACGAACGCUGGCGGCGUGCUUAACACAUGCAAGUCGAACGGUAAGGCCCUUCGGGGUACACGAGUGGCGAACGGGUGAGUAACACGUGGGUGAUCUGCCCUGCACUUCGGGAUAAGCCUGGGAAACUGGGUCUAAUACCGGAUAGGACCCUGGGAUGCAUGUCCUGGGGUGGAAAGCUUUUGCGGUGUGGGAUGGACCCGCGGCCUAUCAGCUUGUUGGUGGGGUGAUGGCCUACCAAGGCGACGACGGGUAGCCGGCCUGAGAGGGUGACCGGCCACACUGGGACUGAGAUACGGCCCAGACUCCUACGGGAGGCAGCAGUGGGGAAUAUUGCACGAUGGGCGCAAGCCUGAUGCAGCGACGCCGCGUGAGGGAUGACGGCCUUCGGGUUGUAAACCUCUUUCAGCACCGACGAAGCGCAAGUGACGGUAGGUGCAGAAGAAGGACCGGCCAACUACGUGCCAGCAGCCGCGGUAA
rnacentral:rRNA from 1 species